UAACAUUUCCCUCGGUUUUAUAAAAAACCGAUGUAAUAUAGCUAUAAGUGAGCGCCAUAUUUUCUUCAUGAAAAAAUAAUAAACUUAUUACCUCGGUGUUUUUGAAAACUGGGGGAAUAUAGCUAUAAGAGAACACGCUUCGAAUCCCUAUAACUGCAUUUAAGGUUUUUUUUAAUGAUUUUUCACUUGGUGCCUUCGAU
rnacentral:lncRNA from 1 species